AUUAAAUUAGAAUCAAAUAUUAGAUUAAAUUCAAGCCAUUUCUACCAAAUCAAAUCAACUGCAUUUAUUCUGUUAAUACUGCAGCUCCCGUAACUUCAGACAACAGGAACAGUAUGUAAGAAGAGCUGCAUUAUCUAGAUUCUAGGUCUCAAAAUAUAAGGAAUGACCUCACGAGUCACAGCCCAGUUGUUCCUAUAUGUAGUUAGAAGGAGAUAUCUGAAGGAGCUCCUUGGAUCUGGCAUCCUCUCUACCGUCAACCUCACACCCCAGGCAAGAAGGGGAAAUCCCAGAGGCCAUAAUCCUCCAGCCAUCUGGGAGGCACCCAGAAGACAACCAUUAGCAGACACUCUGGGACUUCAGGCAGUUCUGCUCCUUGAAACAACUGUCACUGGAGAGGCGAUUUUACAGCAGCCACUGUUGUCAAGUGGAAAUACAUUUUUAGUAAUAAGAAUAACAGCAAUGGACGGAUAAGCUGGCUCUUCUGGAACAACCAUCCAGGGAUAUUCCAGCCUUACAGUUCUAUCAGGUCAAGCAAAAGUUGAUGUUUCUACCUCACCAGGGAGCACUUUAGCCCUUAAUCUCUUUUACAAGCAGCAGAGGACUUGAAGACCAAAUGACAGCCAGGGACCUGGCCAUUGCCGGGUAGCCUAGGAAUGUGCGACCACUAAGGAAUUGAAGCCCUUCUCUGUGUCUCUGUUUUUCUCACUUGUCUUCUUUCCAGCUGUCCUAUAGGUGUGGUAAAUCUGAAUGCACAAUUCUCAAAAACCAUAACUCCCACUUUUUCUAGGUGCCAAAGAGAAUGUUAAAAUAUCUUCAAUUAUCCAUUCUCUCAUUUCAACUUCAGCUUCUAGUAUUGAUUAAGAAGUGGAGACCACCUCAUCUGUCCUCCUCAAUCUUAUUCAUGCACUACUGAGACGCACCUACAGGAGGAGAAACACUUCCAAGCACACGAUGUGAAUUUGUAUCUUUACACACCUAACAUACCGACUAUUCCUGAAUCCUUAUCCAGUUUGAAAGAGAAUACAAUGCAAGUAAAACCUGAAUUGAUUUUAGCCUGAUGUUUUCCCGUGGAACAGGGACUCAUAAAUCACUCCAUAUGUCAAACUCUGCCCUUCUUCCCCGAUUCAGUAAUCACUCUCUUAGUAACUUGGGAGAUAUAAACUAGACAUUUGUAUCUACCAGGGGUUCUAUCUGGCUUAUUUAUUUAAUUCAGCUGAGAAUUUGGGGUGUUAUGUUUCAUUAAUUCACCAAUGACCUAUUUUAAAUCAACGAUUCUGAGCCAACUUCUUUUUGAGAUAUUGGACUUGAUAUAAAUACAAUGCAGAAAGAAGUAAUUCUCCAUUCUGGGUUAACUUCAUUAUUGUGCUAAGUAUUCCCAUAAGAAAAAAAAAUUAUCAUAUGCUCUCAAGCUUCACAGACAUAUUUUUGUCUGUAUGUUUACUCAGAAAGGAGAUAAAGUCUACAGUUUCAUUUUCAUACUUUUACAGCAAGAUCCUAA
rnacentral:lncRNA from 1 species